GAUGAACGCUGGCGGCGUGCCUAAUACAUGCAAGUCGAGCGAACGGACGAGAACUUGCCCUCUCUGAUGUGAUGGGCGGGCGUGUGAGUAACAUGUGUAUACCCUAUCUUUGAGACUGAGAUAACUUCGGGAAAACAGAUAUUACACCGUAUGAUAGGUUGAACCGCAUGAUUCAAAAGAGAAAUACAAUCGUGCUGAUACUAGUUGAUGCUUCCGCGUUGCAUUAGCUAGUUGGUAGGGUAACGGCCUACCAAGGCAACGAUCCAUAGCGGACCUGAGAGGGUGAUCAGCCACACUGGAACGGGGACACGGUCCGGACUCCUACGGGAGGCAGCAGUGGGGAAUUUUGGGAAAUGGGCGAAAGCCUGACGGAGCAACGCCGCGUGAGUGAUGAAGGUCUUCGGAUCGUAAAACUCUUUUAUUAGGGAGGAAGAGUGGUAUAAGUAAAUGUUCACAUUUUGACGGUACCUAAUCAGAAAGCAACGGCUAACUACGUG
rnacentral:rRNA from 1 species